AUUGAACGCUGGCGGCAGGCCUAACACAUGCAAGUCGAACGGCAGCACAGAAGAGCUUGCUCUUUGGGUGGCGAGUGGCGGACGGGUGAGUAAUGUCUGGGAAACUGCCCGAUGGAGGGGGAUAACUACUGGAAACGGUAGCUAAUACCGCAUAACGUCGCAAGACCAAAGUGGGGGACCUUCGGGCCUCACACCAUCGGAUGUGCCCAGAUGGGAUUAGCUAGUAGGUGGGGUAAUGGCUCACCUAGGCGACGAUCCCUAGCUGGUCUGAGAGGAUGACCAGCCACACUGGAACUGAGACACGGUCCAGACUCCUACGGGAGGCAGCAGUGGGGAAUAUUGCACAAUGGGCGCAAGCCUGAUGCAGCCAUGCCGCGUGUAUGAAGAAGGCCUUCGGGUUGUAAAGUACUUUCAGCGGGGAGGAAGGCGGUGAGAUUAAUAACCUUGCCGAUUGACGUUACCCGCAGAAGAAGCACCGGCUAACUCCGUGCCAGCCGCCGCGGUAA
rnacentral:rRNA from 1 species